rnacentral:rRNA from 1 species
UACGUAGGGUGCAAGCGUUAAUCGGAAUUACUGGGCGUAAAGCGUGCGCAGGUCGGUUAUGUAAGACAGAUGUGAAAUCCCCGGGCUCAACCUGGGAACUGCAUUGUGACUGCAUAGCUAGAGUACGGUAGAGGGGGAUGGAAUUCCGCGUGUAGCAGUGAAAUGCGUAGAUAUGCGGAGGAACACCGAUGGCGAAGGCAAUCCCCUGGACCUGUACUGACGCUCAUGCACGAAAGCGUGGGGAGCAAACGAGG